ensembl:lncRNA
AGUUGUCUCUACUGGAGAGCAUCAGUCAGGGAGUUGACAAGUGAGCUGCCCUGGGGAAGGAAGCUUCUUGGGAGUAAUUUUAUCAGGGGAGAAUAAUUUCAGUAAACCUGGUAUUCAAAGUUGCUGAAGAUUUUGCUUUGCUUCUUGAGAACAUCAUAUGGCAUAUGCAGAACAACCAGAGGAUCAGGCCCAGCCAGCAUGGGUUCAUGAAAAGUAGGUAGUCAGCAGGACCAGGGAGGUGAACAGCCCUUCUAUACUCAGAACUGGGGAGGCCUCAUAUCAAGUGCUGUGUUCAGUUUUUGGCCCCUCGCUACAAGAAGGACGCUGAGGUGCUGGAGCAUGUCCGGAGAGGGGCAGUAAUAUUGAUAAAGGGUCUGGAGCACAAGCCUUAUGAAGAACAGCCAGAAGAACUCACAUUGUUCAAUUCAGAGAAGAAGAGGCUCGGGGGAGACCUUAUCACUCUCUACAAAGACCUGAAAGGAUGUUGUGAUGAGAUGGGGAUCGGCCUCUUCUCCCAGCAAAGAAACUUGCCUGUCAGGGAUAACACAGGAGAACGUGAGCUGAAGGCUCCCUAUGGCAGAGAAGGGAAAAUUAAAUGAAGGUCUCCUUGAUCCUGAGGACAUCAGCUCAGUGAGCAUUGAUGGGAACACCAUGCUGUUUGUGAUUCUCCACCCCUAGUCAAAAAAGACUUGUUCUCAGCACAGCUUUUGAAAGAACCUGGCACCUUUGCAUUCUGGACAAUGGAUGGAGGUAACAAGACGAAGCAUAAGAAGGUUUUCAAAAAUCCUCGUUUACCCUCCGAGGCAAUCUGACUGCUCUGCAGCCCAACCCGCAGGCAGCCCAGCCCCUGCUGUCAUCGCCGAACAGACGAGGAAGGGAGACAUCUAAAGGCAUCCCCGGGAAGUUCACUCUCCUCCUGCACGCGCCGACCUCGGAUUUCGACCACCGGUUUGAUAGAGGCAAGUAUCCCCGUUGUGCAAAAGUAGAUCCAGCGCAGAAACAAAUUAUUUCUGAGAAGCAUUGCGCGGAUUCCCUGCAGUCGUGUCAGAGAGGACAGUCGUGUCUCAGCUCCAGCAGCCACAUACUACAGUAUGCUGCUUGCUUCCUAGCUGCGUUUCUUGAAGAGUUUUUGAUCUGCACUUCCAUGCUUUCCCAUCGCACCCCAAGGUCACUGCUGAAAGGGAAGGUGCAGAUGGAAGCUGAGGUGUAGAGGCACCACCACUCCUACCUGACAGGGGACGUGCAGGAGCAUCAGUAACACACGCAAUAAGCAUUCCAACUUCCAGGAGGCUGCACAGCAUUCCCCACUAGGAGCAAGCAGGAAAGUGGAAAAAGUCUCCUCCACUCCAGAGCUGUCAGUGGAAAUGGCUGUCUUCCCAUCAGGAUAGUGCAGUACAAAGCAGAUGGUGCAUCUGGUCCCGGAUCUGGAGCUGAGGCACCCGCCUCCUUCCCCUCACCUUGUCUGAGAUCGAUGGUAGCUCUGAGGCCCAAAGUGCUCCUUUCUUUCUUUGCCAUCAUUGCCACCCAAAGUGCAGCAGGUCAGGGAGCUGCUGGAGAGGUGACGCAUCAAGGCUGUAAGUAAGGCUUUUUCUAAUUCUUGGCACAGGCGUUUUCAUGAGAAGAAGAAGAAAAAGGUACAUUUUCAAAUCAGUAUUAGGUGAACAGUUCAGAAAUAAAAGCCUUUCCCUUAGAGAUGCAAAUCAUCUGGACUGCUCUAACAUCUUCAGGGCUCUAAUGACCUUAAAGCACUGUCUUUAUGCCAUCCGUAAGACAACCAUAGCUUGAACUGUGAAGGACAAUUUCAUUUCAAGUGACCUGGCUGGAAGCAAUAAAAAUUCAAAGACCAAAUGGAAAGAAAUACUUGCUUAAACACUCACAACUUUAUUUUUAUUUGCAUCACACAGAGCAUUGACCAGUUCUGUAUAACCUUUCUACUCCCUAGAAAUUGCAGUGUUCCGCUGUAGAAAAUGCAAAGAGUGUAAGGUCAAUGUCAAGUCAUAAAACAGCUACAAGUGCAAUUUGAGCAUUUGCAAUUAUGGGAAGAACAAGAAAAAAGGUACUUUAUGCUCCAUCUGGAAUUCUACUCCCUCUGUAAACAGUGUUAAUAAAAUACAGAUGCAAUUC